rnacentral:rRNA from 1 species
AGUGAACGCUGGCGGUAGGCCUAACACAUGCAAGUCGAACGGCAGCACAGUAAGAGCUUGCUCUUACGGGUGGCGAGUGGCGGACGGGUGAGGAAUACAUCGGAAUCUACUUUUUCGUGGGGGAUAACGUAGGGAAACUUACGCUAAUACCGCAUACGACCUACGGGUGAAAGCAGGGGAUCUUCGGACCUUGCGCGAUUGAAUGAGCCGAUGUCGGAUUAGCUAGUUGGCGGGGUAAAGGCCCACCAAGGCGACGAUCCGUAGCUGGUCUGAGAGGAUGAGCGGCCAAACUGGAACUGAGCCACGGUCCAGACUCCCACGGGAGGCAGCAGUGGGGAAUAUUGGACAAUGGGCGCAAGCCUGACCCAGCCAUACCGGGGGGGUGAAGAAGGCCUUCGGGUUGUAAAGCCCUUUUGUUGGGAAAGAAAAGCAGCAGGUUAAUACCCCGCUGUUCUGACGGUACCCAAAGAAUAAGCACCGGCUAACUUCGU